UUAUAUCUAUUUUUUUUUCGUCACAGUGCUAUAUCUAUAUAAUUCUUUUUUUUUUCUAACAAAAUUGUCGUUUAAAUAUUUUUUUAUAUAAAAAGUGGUGGUGUUUUAUCGCUACAAACUUUCGGUUUUGCUUUAAUUUUGAUUUUGCUCUAUUUAUGCCGUGUUUUGUGACCACUUUUUGUUGAAAUGUAACUCUCGGUUUCA
rnacentral:lncRNA from 1 species